UACGUAGGGUGCGAGCGUUGUCCGGAUUUAUUGGGCGUAAAGAGCUCGUAGGCGGCCUGUCGCGUCGACUGUGAAAACCCGCAGCUCAACUGCGGGACUGCAGUCGAUACGGGCAGGCUAGAGUUCGGUAGGGGAGACUGGAAUUCCUGGUGUAGCGGUGAAAUGCGCAGAUAUCAGGAGGAACACCGGUGGCGAAGGCGGGUCUCUGGGCCGAUACUGACGCUGAGGAGCGAAAGCGUGGGGAGCGAACAGG
rnacentral:rRNA from 1 species